rnacentral:rRNA from 1 species
GAUCUUGACAUCCUCCUGAAUGCAGGGCAAAGCCUGCAGGCCUUCGGGACAGGAGAGACAGGUGGUGCAUGGUUGUCGUCAGCUCGUGUCGUGAGAUGUUGGGUUAAGUCCCGCAACGAGCGCAACCCUUAUCUUUAGUAGCCAGCAGGUGAAGCUGGGCACUCUAGAGAGACUGCCGGGGAUAACCCGGAGGAAGGGGGGGAUGACGUCAAAUCAUCAUGCCCCUUAUGAUUUGGGCUACACACGUGCUACAAUGGCGUAAACAGAGGGAAGCGAGCCUGCGAGGGGGAGCGAAUCCCAAAAAUAACGUCCCAGUUCGGAUUGUAGUCUGCAACCCGACUACAUGAAGCUGGAAUCGCUAGUAAUCGCGGAUCAAAAUGCCGCGGUGAAUACUUUCCCGGGUCUUUAAACCCCCCGGAA